GCCCCUUUAGCUCAGUUGGUAGAGCAGCGGACUUUUAAUCCGUUGGUCCAGGGUUCGAGCCCCUGAGGGGGCA
rnacentral:tRNA from 2 species